GACGAACGCUGGCGGCGUGCCUAACACAUGCAAGUCGAGCGGGAACCUCAGGAGGGGUAACCCUUCUGAGGGGAGAGCGGCGAACGGGUGAGUAACACGUGGGCAACCUGCCCCGGACACCGGGAUAACCCAGGGAAACCUGAGCUAAUACCGGAUACUCCGGCGCGAUCGCAUGGUCGUGCCGGGAAAGCUCCGACGGUCCGGGAUGGGCCCGCGGCCUAUCAGCUUGUUGGUGGGGUAACGGCCCACCAAGGCGACGACGGGUAGCUGGUCUGAGAGGACGGCCAGCCACACUGGGGCUGAGACACGGCCCAGACUCCUACGGGAGGCAGCAGUGGGGGAUCUUGCGCUAAUGCGCGAAAGCGUGACGCAGCGACGCCGCGUGGGGAUGAAGGCC
rnacentral:rRNA from 1 species